CACAACCAUCGCUUAUAUUGGAAUCGUUCGCAGCCUCAGAUUCUCAACGUUCGGUAAUGCGCUAAAGAGAAGACAAGCUGUGUUUCUUUCCGUUAUCGUGUUUUGCAUUUUUGUGAUAUGUUUUGGGCCAACCAAUGUCAUCUUCCUAUCUAACUAUUUGUAUUUACUGAAUGGCAUUGUCAAUGAGUAUCUGUAUUUUGCCUAUAUCCUGUGUGUCUGUGUUGGCAGUAUUAGCUGUUGUCUUGACCCACUCCUUUAUUACUAUGUGUCCCCAGAAUGUCAGAUAUACCUGUACCGGUUACUCAGUGGUAAGGACACCACUAGUUUGAGCAGAACCAAAGAACUAUUAGAAAAAUAGCUCUCCCUGUGACAUUUGAAUAACACACAUAAUUCAUUGCUUGUGACAAAUCCAGAAAAGGUAUGAAAUAUUUAUCCGUAGACUAGAUGCAAAAAGAUUGAAAUGCAUUACUGUUUGUUUCUCUAUAUAAGAUAAUAUUAGCUGCAUAUUCCAUUACUGUAUAUAAGAUAAUAUUAGCAGCAUAUUCCAUUACUGUAUAUAGCAUAAUAUAAGCUAUGGUGAAUGAAUCAUAAUGUUCAAGGAUAAACACAUAUAUUCUACUACUUCAGUCCAAAUACCUGUCAGCACAGAGUGGAUUUAAGUAUACACUGCUUGUUAUUUCUAAGCCACACAUAUGGGCAGAGAUCCAUCAGCCUCCAACUAACCAGGGGAGAUGUAUAUGCACUGCCACCCACACCCACACACUGAACCUUUUACACACAUUGCACCCCUCACACAUUGCACCACUGCUCCUAUACCCUACUACAGCCCCAUAUCACAGCAGACUCCAGGUAAGUUGUCAAACUGUUCUUAACCCCUUAAGGACACAUGACAUGUGUAACAUGUCAUGAUUCCCUUUUAUUCCGGAAGUUUGGUCCUUAAGGGGUUAAACCAGGGCCGGAUUAACAUAGGGGCUGAUGGAGCUGCAGCUCCAGGCCCAGGCCCAUGGAAUAGGCUGUGGGGAUAUUUAUGGGAUAAUAAUAGUAAACAGUUGAGAAUUGCCCACUAAUUCAAUUCUCAGAUCCCAAAUAUCGU